AUUGAACGCUGGCGGCAGGCCUAACACAUGCAAGUCGAACGAGUGGCGGACGGGUGAGUAAUGUCUGGGAAACUGCCUGAUGGAGGGGGAUAACUACUGGAAACGGUAGCUAAUACCGCAUACCAUCGGAUGUGCCCAGAGGGGAUUAGCUAGUAGGUGGGGUAAAGGCUCACCUCGGCGACGAUCCCUAGCUGGGCUGAGAGGAGGACCGGCGACACUGGAACUGAGACACGGUCCAGACUCCUACGGGAGGCAGCAGUGGGGAAUAUUGCACAAUGGGCGCAAGCCUGAUGCAGCCAGGAGGCGUGUAUGAAGAAGGCCUGCGGGUUGUAAAGUACUUUCAGCGGGGAGGGGUUACCCGUAGAAGAAGCACCGGCUAACUCCGUGCCAGCAGCCGCGGUAAUAC
rnacentral:rRNA from 1 species